rnacentral:rRNA from 1 species
AAUAUUGGAUAAUGGGCGAAAGUCUGAUCCAGCUAUGCCGCGUGUUUGAAGAAGGUCUUCGGAUUGUAUUGCACUUUUAGUUGGGAGGAAGGGGGUGAAGCUAAUACCUUUAAUCUUUGGCGUUACCAACAGAAUAAGCACCGGCUAACUCUGUGCCAGCAGCCGCGGUAAUACAGAGGGUGCAAGCGUUAAUCGGAAUUACUGGGCGUAAAGCGCGCGUAGGUGGUUCAGUAAGAUUGAAGUGAAAUCCCCGGGCUUAACCUGGGAACUGCUUUCAUAACUGCUGAGCUAGAGUACGGUAGAGGGUAGUGGAAUUUCCUGUGUAGCGGUGAAAUGCGUAGAUAUAGGAAGGAACACCAGUGGCGAAGGCGACUACCUGGACUGAUACUGACACUGAGGUGCGAAAGCGUGGGGAGCAAACAGG